GACGAACGCUGGCGGCGUGCCUAAUACAUGCAAGUAGAACGCACAGUUUAUACCGUAGCUUGCUACACCAUAGACUGUGAGUUGCGAACGGGUGAGUAACGCGUAGGUAACCUGCCUGGUAGCGGGGGAUAACUAUUGGAAACGAUAGCUAAUACCGCAUAAUAUUAAUUAUUGCAUGAUAAUUAAUUGAAAGGUGCAAUUGCACCACUACCAGAUGGACCUGCGUUGUAUUAGCUAGUAGGUGAGGUAACGGCUCACCUAGGCGACGAUACAUAGCCGACCUGAGAGGGUGAUCGGCCGCACUGAGACUGAGACACGGCCCAGACUCCUACGGGAGGCAGCAGUAGGGAAACUUGGGCAAUGGCCGAGAGUCUGACCGAGCAACGCCGCGUGAGUGAAGAAGGUUUUCGGGUCGUAAAGCUCUGUUGUAAGAGAAGAACGGGUGUGAGAGUGGAAAGUUCACACUGUGACGUUAGCUUACCAGAAAGGGACGGCUAACUACGUG
rnacentral:rRNA from 1 species